GGGGGCGAAAUGGGUUCGACGGAGGUAAAGAAGCUUAAGUAGCAUGCCGAGGUCCUGGCUCCUCGUUAAACCGUUGGGACUUAAAACAAACGCAGACGAUUAUUCGUAUGCCGUAGCCGCUUAGGCGGCUGCCGUCCCUGUGGAUCAUUCCCGCGGGUCCUUCAGGGGCGUCGACUCAGCGGGAUGGUUUCCGGUGUGUCGCCUGCAGCUCCGGAAACGAGACUUUGCAGACUAGCCGGCGUGACAUCCUGCCCGUGGGAGGUUGCUCCGGCGAAUACCAGAAUACGGGAUAAGCAUGUAGAGACUUGAGUGGAAUGCUUUCGGACGCGGGUUCAAUUCCCGCCGCCUCCACCA
rnacentral:tmRNA from 1 species